GAGGGUAUAGCUCAAAUGGUAGAGCACAUGCUUAGCAUGCACAAGGGCCUGGGUUCAGUUGCCAGUACUCCCU
rnacentral:tRNA from 1 species